rnacentral:rRNA from 1 species
UACAGAGGGGGCAAGCGUUGUUCGGAAUUACUGGGCGUAAAGGGCGCGUAGGCGGCCUUCUAAGUCGAACGUGAAAUCCCCGGGCUCAACCCGGGAACUGCGUCCGAUACUGGAAGGCUUGAAUCCGGGAGAGGGAUGCGGAAUUCCAGGUGUAGCGGUGAGAUGCGUAGAUAUCUGGAGGAACACCGGUGGCGAAGGCGGCAUCCUGGACCGGUAUUGACGCUGAGGCGCGAAAGCCAGGGGAGCAAACGGG